CUGUAAUCUGGAUACAGAUUCCCCUCCAGACGUUCACCAACAGCAAGGAUCAACAAGAAGGUAAGGUAAAGGUUCAGCUUUUAGAAGUCAGGCUAAUAAUAUUCUUUCCUCAAUGCAAAGCUGAGCCUGUUUCACUUUCAGGCUAACUUUCAGCAUCUCUGAUUUCUAUGUGGUGCCUUGCUUCCAGUAUAAAUAAAUGAUCCCACAUUCCGUCAUGAUAACAUAUGCUCAUGCAGAGCUCAAAAUUAGAAGGAAUAUGAAGUGUUCUAUUAAUUGCAUGAAUGUUGAUUGUUAAAAUCAUGUGCUAAUUGGUAAUAUCUGUGUGCAGUAGGUUCCCGCAAUAUGUGUUAGAUUACAUUAACUGUGCUCGUGACUCAGAUAUCAGCAUUAUGCCUUUCGUAGAAGGAGCUUUUUUAGACUUUGUGUAAUUAGGUUCUAUAGAUUAUCAGUGUAGAAAAAUUAGUUGAAGGCUGUGUAAAGGGCAUGUGAAGUUAGAGGAAUGAGGAAUACAGAGCUCCAAAGAUGCAUCUGCUCCUCUUUCUCAUGGUGUGUGCUUCCUCACAUCCUCUCCAGAGUAAUUCUCACCGUGUUUGUCUUGAGCUAAUUCCCAGGGAAUCCAGCACCUCACUGCCAUGGUGAUUACAUCUGGAAGUUGCCAUAUUUUUUUGAGUGGGCUUUCUCCAUUUUCAGUCUUUUCUUUUGCCUUCCCCAGGCUUUGAUCCAAGAACCAUUCAGCUGAAGCAUCCUGACAGAGGAAGCAUCCACUCCUUGGCACUGCAGUGGGUCUCCCUUCCCUGGUGCUCAGCCCAGGCAGGAUCCUCAGGAGCUGCUCUGGCUCCAAGCAGAACCUUUGUUGUAUCUGCAAAGUGGACAAGCUGCAGCCACUUGUGGUGGGGCUGCUCUUGAUUUCCAGGAGAGCUCCCCAGAACCCUGGAGAGCCAAGCUCAUCCCUACCAACAUCAGAGGGACCAGCCUUGCCCUCUGCCUGCGUUUCUGAUUCCUCUGCUUGCUCUUUUUUUGGAAGGAGGAGGAAACCUUGCAAAGCUGAAAUGAAAUAUUAAGCCUCAUUCUUUCCAGGUUUCCAAGCAGAGUGACUCAUGAGAGCAACACUCCAAUUCCUAUUUCAUGAGCUGACUCCGUAGAAGUGAACAGAGCUGCUGGGAGCACAGGACCUGCUGCAAACAUCUUCCUACUUAUUAUUAACCAGCAACUUUAACUUUGUAGUGCUUCAGAUUUAUUCAUAUUUUCAGGCUUUCUGCUAUGCUUCUGGUUGUGAUAAAUUUUACUGACAGUAAGCAGGAAUUUAUUAUCCUUUGCUGAUGGCUGGGCAAAGCAUUCAGCAGGGAUAAGGCUGAGACGUGGAAAUAAGACUGGGCAAGGACUUCUGAUCUAGAGGUGCCUCUAUUUGCUUGUCUCCAUGUAAUCACUUUGGAAAGCCUGGAUAGUUCUAUCUUGGGAGAAGUGAGGUUUCCUGACUCCAUUCCUGCAGUGAGGAGGCACCACAACCUCAGUUCUCUGUUGAUUGAAGACUUUCCCCUACUUUGCAUUGCAAAUAUAUGUAUGACUAAUUCAAACCCACUGGUUUUUUCCUACUUUUUUUGUCUCUUCCCUUUGGCUGAAACAAUGUUUGCUUCUCCCAGGCCUUGAGACCAAUAAGUUCACUAGCACUGGACAGGUUUUCUUGGAGCUUCAGCUAAACUGAAGUUGUUGUGUUGGGUGGAAUGAAAUUUGAGAUCUCCAUAAAGUUUUUCCUAAUUUUCCAUGUAUCUCUGUUUUUUUCUACUUUUGCAUAGACUUAGCAGAUGUAUUUGAAUUCUGGAUUUAGCACCUGGCUAAAUCCUACUAACCUGCAGAAAGUUUUGCCCUGGUUUAUUCAACAAAAAAGGCCAAACCCCCCAAGCACAGCUAGAAACCACUAGAAAAACAUAAAAAGGUCUGAUUUAUGCUGGAUAUCAGAGGAAAUCAUCUUAUCCCCUCUGAUAUGCAAUCUAUGAAUGUAGAAAAUUUUGGCUGACUCAUGAGAGUCCCAGAAUGGCACUAGAUGUUGACAGAUAUAUUAAGAAGAGCUAAGCAAUUUUUGGUACCAAGGCAGAGGCAGGGGAGAUGUGUUCAUUUGUGGUUGGUGGAAUUACUGAAAGCGCUGCAAUAAAGUUUGGUAAACUUUUUACCUUCCCUAAUCA
rnacentral:lncRNA from 1 species